ACGGCCGUACCAUGCUGAAUAUACCGGUUCUCGUUAGAUCACCGAAGUCAAGUACUUGGGCGCGGUCAGUACUUGGGUGGGUGACCACCUGGGAACACCGCGUGCCGU